rnacentral:lncRNA from 1 species
AUGGAGUGCAGAAGGGAAGGAAGGAGACAAGUGAAAAUCCAUUUGCACAUGUGUAGAUGGCCCUUGGCCAGAAGCCUCAAGAGACAACAGGAAAACUGUGUAGAGAUGAAGAGAGUGGGUCAGCAUGAGAGAGAGGAAACUGGCGAGAACAUGUCGGAAGACGAGCUGCAGGCUAACUGGUGCCUCCCACCUUCAUUACUGUGCUUCCAAGUCAAUCUCUCUGCUCUCCUUGAGUGGCAAAUAAAAAAAUCAGCUCACAAGAUAUAUGUGUGUGCUGUUCAUGAUGAUCCUCACCGUCCAUCUGCCGCAUGUCGCACACGCCAGCCUGAAGACGCUGCAGGGAGAAUUAAAGACGUCCUGAGUCCACAGCAGAAUCCAGAGGCCUUUUUCUUCUGGACACAUGGCGUUGGUCACCUGGGGCUUGUCCCACCUCGUGCACUCUGCGGCAAAGAUGCUGAUUGCUGGUGGACAAUAACUGAUCGCAUGCCUAACCUUCCAGAGCAACCAACUGGCUUAAAAUCUAGAACCCAAGUGAGUCUGGUAUGUUUCGUUUUGGCAAGGACUCCUAGUUCAGACAUACCAAAAUUCACACACUAGAAUCCCAAAUUCUGUUUCUUUUCAGAUUCAUGUUAUUUUUUUUAUGUGCAUGAAUAUUUAGCCUGUGCCCACCGGAGCCAGAAGAGGGCAUUGGAUCCUGAAACUGAAGUUACAGAUGUUGGGAGCCACCAUGUGGGCACUAGGAAUUGAACUUAGAUCCUUUGUAAAAGCAAUCAGUGAUCUUAACCAGUGAGCCAUCACUCCACCCCCAAAUUCUGUUUCUUGAAGAUAUUUGUGAUGAUUAAUCUGGCCAACCAGAGUCACAGUGGAAGCAACUAUGUGGGCACACCUGCAAGAUACCAUCUAAACUAGGUUAAUUGAGGUGGGGAGAGUGACCUGAAGGCAAUCCCUACCAUUCAAGGCCUCGACUGAACACCCAGGAGGAACCAGCACUCAUCCUUAUCUCCUCUUACUGUGAACAUGGUAAGACCAGCCCCUCCUGCUCUUGUCACCAUGCUGCCUUGGCCACGACAAACCAUAGUCCCUGGAAGUCAAAGUCAAAGUAAGCCCUUCUACCUUUCCUUCCUCCCUUUCUCCCUCCUCCCCACCUCCCCUCCCCUUCCCUCCCUCCCUUCCUUACAUUGCCAUUGCCAGAUAGUUUGUCUUAGCAAAAAAUAACUAAUGUAAUGUUUAAAUUCAAAUGCACACCUAAGAGCACUUAUGAAUCAAAGUACUCCCUAAAAUACACGGCAGAGUUCAGAUACUGCCUUUACCCUGGGAAGGAACUUUAGGAGAAGCACUAUAUAUGUAUCUAACAACCGUGUAUCAUUGUACAUUUGAUUUUAUUGCACGUGGCCUUACCACAGAGAAGGUAAAGUUGCCCAGUGUUAAAGAUCUGAGGACGUAGGGGAAUCCCUAACACAGUGCUUACCCUCAUCCUCCACACUGGUCAGAAUCCUUCCUAGCAACGGCAUUGCUGCUGCUGAUUCCCCCAGGUCUUGGAAAUUGCAGAAUCUCUUGGUUUUCCAUGUUAGGUUUCUGUGAGUAGUCAUCGGGCCUUUGUCACAGGAAGCCUGUGGUCUCACUUGCUGGUUCUAACCAGGUGCUUUAGAACUGGUUGGUGCUCUACUCUACAUGACUGUCCUUCAUAUGGUUGGAAAGGUACCCACAGGUUCUUCACCUCUUCUGUGUUUAUACCUUUGGGCUCCUCAAGUCUCCCUCUGGUUGCCAUGACAGACAGUGCUUAUCCUAACCCUUGAGUCCACUCACCCAUGCUCAGAAGGCGUUCUGUGACAGUCUAAGCACCCACUGCCAUCUGAGUUGGAAGCUGGGUUCAAAGCUAUUUUCUACCUUUCAGAUUCUAGGUUCAAUAAAGCAGAGCCCAGUGGCGAUGGAGACGCCGGU